GUGGGGAAUCUUGCGCAAUGGGCGAAAGCCUGACGCAGCCAUGCCGCGUGAAUGAUGAAGGUCUUAGGAUUGUAAAAUUCUUUCACCGGGGACGAUAAUGACGGUACCCGGAGAAGAAGCUCCGGCUAACUUUGUGCCAGCAGCCGCGGUAAUACGAAGGGGGCUAGCGUUGCUCGGAAUUACUGGGCGUAAAGGGCGCGUAGGCGGACAGCUUAGUCAGAGGUGAAAGCCCAGGGCUCAACCUUGGAAUUGCCUUUGAUACUGGCUGUCUUGAGUUUGGGAGAGGUGAGUGGAACUCCGAGUGUAGAGGUGAAAUUCGUAGAUAUUCGGAAGAACACCAGUGGCGAAGGCGACUCACUGGCCCAAUACUGACGCUGAGGCGCGAAAGCGUGGGGAGCAAACAGGAUUAGAAACCCCUGUAGUCC
rnacentral:rRNA from 1 species